rnacentral:rRNA from 1 species
CCUACGGGAGGCAGCAGUGGGGAAUUUUGGACAAUGGGCGCAAGCCUGAUCCAGCAAUGCCGCGUGAGUGAAGAAGGCCUUCGGGUUGUAAAGCUCUUUUGUCAGGGAAGAAACGGUGGAGGUUAAUACCUUCUGCUAAUGACGGUACCUGAAGAAUAAGCACCGGCUAACUACGUGCCAGCAGCCGCGGUAAUACGUAGGGUGCAAGCGUUAAUCGGAAUUACUGGGCGUAAAGCGUGCGCAGGCGGUUGUGCAAGACAGAUGUGAAAUCCCCGGGCUCAACCUGGGAAUUGCAUUUGUGACUGCACGGCUAGAGUGUGUCAGAGGGGGGUAGAAUUCCACGUGUAGCAGUGAAAUGCGUAGAGAUGUGGAGGAAUACCGAUGGCGAAGGCAGCCCCCUGGGAUAACACUGACGCUCAUGCACGAAAGCGUGGGGAGCAAACAGGAUUAGAUACCCUGGUAGUCCACGCCCUAAACGAUGUCUACUAGUUGUCGGGUCUUAAUUGACUUGGUAACGCAGCUACGCGUGAGUAGACCGCCGNGGGAGGUACGGUCGCGAGAGUAAACGUACGAAGAAGUUAGACGGCGUGAGACGUUGCCGACGGACGACGACGAGGGAGGAGG